rnacentral:rRNA from 1 species
UACAGAGGUCCCAAGCGUUGUUCGGAUUCACUGGGCGUAAAGGGUGCGUAGGUGGUUAGGUAAGUCCGAUGUGAAAUCUCCAGGCUCAACCUGGAAAUGGCAUUGGAUACUAUCUAGCUUGAGGAGUGGAGGGGAGACUGGAAUUCCUGGUGUAGCGGUGAAAUGCGCAGAUAUCAGGAGGAACACCGGUGGCGAAGGCGGGUCUCUGGGCCGUAACUGACGCUGAGGAGCGAAAGCGUGGGGAGCGAACAGG